rnacentral:rRNA from 1 species
AUUGAACGCUGGCGGCAUGCCUUACACAUGCAAGUCGAACGGUAACAGGUCUUCGGAUGCUGACGAGUGGCGAACGGGUGAGUAAUACAUCGGAACGUGCCCGAUCGUGGGGGAUAACGAAGCGAAAGCUUUGCUAAUACCGCAUACGAUCCACGGAUGAAAGCAGGGGACCGCAAGGCCUUGCGCGAACGGAGUGGCCGAUGGCAGAUUAGGUAGUUGGUGGGAUAAAAGCUUACCAAGCCGACGAUCUGUAGCUGGUCUGAGAGGACGACCAGCCACACUGGGACUGAGACACAGCCCAGACUCCUACGGGAGGCAGCAGUGGGGAAUUUUGGACAAUGGGCGAAAGCCUGAUCCAGCCAUGCCGCGUGCAGGAUGAAGGCCUUCGGGUUGUAAACUGCUUUUGUACGGAACGAAAAGACUCUGGUUAAUACCUGGGGUCCAUGACGGUACCGUAAGAAUAAGCACCGGCUAACUACGUGCCAGCCGCCGCAGUAACAC